rnacentral:rRNA from 1 species
GUGCCAGCAGCCGCGGUAAUACGGAGGGAGCUAGCGUUGUUCGGAAUUACUGGGCGUAAAGCGUACGUAGGCGGUUAUUCAAGUCAGAGGUGAAAGCCUGGAGCUCAACUCCAGAACUGCCUUUGAAACUAGGUAACUAGAAUCACGGAGAGGUUAGUGGAAUUCCGAGUGUAGAGGUGAAAUUCGUAGAUAUUCGGAAGAACACCAGUGGCGAAGGCGACUAACUGGACGUGUAUUGACGCUGAGGUACGAAAGCGUGGGGAGCAAACAGGAUUAGAUACCCCCGUAGUCC